AGCAAAAUGUUUCCAGACCUCUUGGCUCGUUCCAGGUCAUCGUUGGACUGUUCCAGUUCUCGCACGUAUUUGUGGAGGUGCUCCUUGAUACUGCGCGUUUGCACCAGGUCGUCCUCCAGAACGGAUAUCUGCUUGUAGCUCUUUGUGACCAACAUUGAUAAACAAAAUAGGCAGAGUGGGUACAAUAAAGCCCAGGCAUUCACAACCAAGGCUUGUGAUGAAGAUAUUCCAGAUAUCUGGCUCCGCCUUUACCUUGAGCGACUCCACGUCGUUCUUCAGCCUAAGGUUGUCUGAUUGGAGGUCCUUCAGACGAUGCUCGGCCUGUCCCAGCUGAGCUUCCAGUUCAGCUUCCAGCUCCCUGCUGCCCUCCUGGAACUCCAGCAGCUCCUCGUGCGCCUCCUGGUAGCUGCCGGCCGACAAUAGAGAGGACAGACAAAGAGAAAGAUGUCACGCUAAAAAGAACAUUCUGAUGAACGAAGAAGGCGCAUCUGAAAAUGGAAUCUGCUGGUGUGAUGCAUCUGUCACAUCAGCAAGAAUAUAAAGCCUGCUCUCCUCAACUGACAAGAACCAACGCACGGCAGACAUCAUGACAGGUCACCUGGUGGCGCUAGUGUGGAAAGCGCCGUUCGACAUGCAGAAGAAGAAGUUUGCCUUGGCUCGGUGGACGUGACGUCAGACCCAGGGCGUUAUUGAAUACAGGUGAAGCAAGAUGGUCCCCGACUGCGUGGCAUUCUCUCAGGAUUUUCGCACUCAAUGGACGUAACUGCGUUUGAGGUUUGAGCGCACUUGCCUUUGCAUCAUUUUGCAGUGUUUCAAAAGGUUUUCGUUCGUUUUAAUGCUGGGCAGCUCUUCUUCGUUUCUUUCAUUUUUACCUCGUAAAUGAGACUUCUUUUACUUCGGGGUUGAACUAUAAAUGUUUGUUUGACCUAAGUCAACAUGUUUGUUUGACUAUAGUCAAACAAAUACAAAAAUAUAACUUAUUUAUUGUGUUUUUAAUACUGUGGUAUUUCAUUUCACGUUAUGCCAACGUAUAUAUGAAUGCGAGUUUUUCCUUCUCAAAAUGAAAUCCUUUUGCUCCAAGCAUUAACCAAAACGGCGCCUGCAUUCAUUCUCAUACGUUGGAACGUUGGACCUCCAACUUGGGGAGUUCUUUGAGUUUCUGACAUUGUUUCCGUGUUUUUUUUUAACGUGGCCUAAUGAAACAAGCUUUAUUUUCUUGCCUAAUUAUUUUAGAUGACAAGUGAUUGAUCCAACUUAUAUUUAACAUCUAACUGUUCUCAUUCAGUUCAAAUAGUUCCUUUCCAUCCCAAGUUUUUGCAUGACUUUGCUCAAUGCAGUGGUCAGGCCCAAUACUGCCAUAUCACUGAUUUUCCAAUAUGUUGUGCAGCCUUGAUUGAGUGCAAACGCGCAGUGACGGCAAGCGGCCGCGCAAGCGAGACUUUUGUGCUUGUGUCUUGCAAGGUGGAAGCGAAGCUGCACAAAACGAAGACCCGGCAGACGGAGGCCCUGAGCCCCUGGAUUGGCGAGCGCAAAGGAAGAAAUCACCCCAAGAAAAGCAGUCGCCAUGUGAUGAAGAGGAAGUAGCCUGAUGCAUGGCUGGCCAGAGGGCUAGCUCACGUGGCGUCGGAGGGACUGGAGCAGUUCCUCAAAUGAAGAUGAGUACCAUCUGCCGGUCACUGAGUACGUCGACAGAAGUGAACCGCAUGCAACGGAGUGCCGGCUUUCUUUUUGCAGUUGUGCGAGGCAGAGGAAGAGUGCAAACGGAGCGGACCCGAACCUUCUGCAGACCUUCGCCCGUGACGAGCGGCCUACAUGAGGCGUAUGCAGAUGCGGCGAGGCUGGGUGGGCAAAGCAGCCAACAUUUAGGGAGAGUAUGACUUUGUUUUUCCUUUUGCACUUUCUUGCCCUCUCUCCACUUUCUCACUGGGUGUGCACACUGUCUGUCUGCAUGAUGCCUCUCUUCUAAGCGCUGUUAUUGUGCAAUAUUGUUUUAAAGUUUUUUUUUUUAAUACAUGGAGUGAACUGUAAAGUUUGUACUGUAAUUGUGUGCCUCUGUACCUGAAUUGAAUUGUGAACUGAAUUCAAGUGGUCCAUUUUCAAUAUUGGCAUGUGUAGUCUAGCUGUGCAUAUUGAGUUAAAUGACAAACUGAAAUCAUUUGAAAAAUUCUCUAUAAGGCAAUUGUGAAAUUAGUCUCAAACAAAUGGGUACAAAUAGGUAAUGUUAAAUAUGCAGUGUCAGGCCUUUUUACAGUGCAAUGAAAAGCUGAAUGUAUUCUAAAUUGUUGACAAAAGCCAAGUAGCCUGACACACAUAGAUGCAAAUGACAAGCCUGUCAAGGCGUAAAAAGUCGGCGUUGCGACCAAUGAAAUUUGUCUUUGGCAAACCUUUUUGCAACCCUGCUGUAAAAUGGCCACUGAAUUCAGAAUCUGGCUCCAUGUUGGUGCACAUUUUUUGUACGAGUAAAAGCCUUUAUUUUGUUAAAGUCCAAGUCUUUUUUUUCUUUUUGCGGUUAGAUCGUCAUGCGGGUGUUUUUGUGAAUAAAGUUAACUUUAGUGA